GGGCGCCGGACCUGUGCUGGCUGGGCUGCGCUCCCAGCUGAGUUUCCCGCUCCGCUCCGAGCCCGCGAGCGGCUCCGUGCAGCCUGCAGGGCAGAACAAAAAGCCAUCUAAGGCGCUGGAAACUUUUCCUUUGUUGCUAGGGAAGUCAGUGCAGUGAGGUUAGCAGAGUGCUUUCCUGUGCCCUGUGUUGUAAAGAACAAGCUGAGGUCCUGUGUGUGUUUCUGGCUUGGUGUUUGCAGCCCCUGACAGCGAGCGCUGUCUGACAGAGCCAUCCAAGUGAGCACAAGCCAGUUGGUUGCACCCUGCGCCCAGAAGGGGAUUUCACAUUUGAAAGGAGCUCACCACAGAGGAGGU
rnacentral:lncRNA from 1 species